GUUAUUAUGAGAUACUAAGUCAUAAUUAUGAGAAAGUUUCUCAUUAUUACAAGAAAGUUUCUCGUUAUUAUGAGAAACUGUCAUUAUUAUAAGAAAGUUUCUCAUUAUUAUGAGAAAGUUUCUCGUUAUUAAGAGAAACUAAGUCAUUAUUACGAGAAAGUUUCUUAUUAUUAUGACAUAGUAAGUCAUUAUUAUGAGAAAGUUUCUCAAUAUUAUGACUUAAAGAAUCAUAUUUUUUACUUUACUGUGGCGGAAACGGGCUUCCAUAGUUUACUUCCAUUUCAUGCCAACUUUAACUGGUGUUAGAGUGUUAUAGCAAGACCUGCACCCUCUAGAAUGUUUUCAGGGUAACACUUCACAAUAAGGUUCAUUAGUUAACAUUAGUUAACUAAUUAACAUGAACUAAUAAUGAACUGCACUUCUACAGCCUUUAUCAAUCUUUAUUAAUGUUAAUUUCAACAUUUACUAAUACAUUAUUAAAUCAAGAGUCGUAUAUAGUUAAUGCACUGUGAACUAAUAUGAACAAUGAACAGCUGUAUUUUUAUUAACUAACGUUAACAAAGAUUAACAAAUACAGUAACAAAUGUAUUGCUCAUUGUUAGUUCAUGUUAGUUGAUACAUUAACUAAUGUUAACAAAUUAACCUUAUUGUAAAGUGUUACCAUUUUCAGUUUUCAGCAGGUAUUUUGAUUAAUUUUAUUUGACCAAAUUAAUUUGCUAACUACUCAAGAGAUUUAAGUAGUUCCAUUUUUAGUUCAAAAGUGAACAUUAUCAAGCUUCACUCAUUAAACCUAAUGCACUGUAAUGAUAAAAGUUUUGGGAGUAACACAUUAUAAAAGUCAUUAUAUUACAGUAAUAUAUUAUUUUUUGCUGUAAGGCAGUAAUAUAACACAUUACUAAUAAAAUUUGGGUAAUAUUAUACUUAUUGCAAUCUCAGUAACGCACGUUACAACAACGCAUUUUAAUCCGAAAUUAAAGGGCAUCUAUUAUGCAAAAUCCACUUUUACAAGGUUUUUGGAUAUAAAUGUGUGUUGGCAGUGUGUGAACACAACCACCCUACAGUAGCUAUGUUUCCAUCCAAAGUUGCGUAUUUAACUUAUGCACAAAUUUUGAAUAUCGCAUAGAACAUUUGCGAAUAAAGCACAGUUUCCAUCCAGCGAGUCAAAGAAAACAAAAACGUCACUUCCUGAACACUGGCGCUAAAUAUCACUAUGAAAAAUGUAAGUUUCUGCUAUAGAAGCCAUUGUAUAUAAUAUUUUUUAUAUAUAAUACAUUAUUUGCGCCUCAGUGCUUGCAGAUGAAACACAGUAAACGCUGUCAUGUUAUCUUGCAUUCAAAUGCCUGGUAUUUGUGAACGCAAUCAUGUGAGGCACUUCGGGGAGGGAAUUAAACCGAACCACUUUAACGACAGACUUUGCUCAGUCAUUAGAGAAUGACCAAAACAGCAUUUCAAAUGCUGUGCAAUGAGAUCAAUCCGCUGGUUGUUAUGAGAUCGAUCCAGUUAUGCUGUUACAUUGCAAAGUCACGUCUUUUUUGAUGCGCAUCAAGGAAUUUAUUCGGUAAAAGUGUUUCCAUCGUAGUUCAUGCGCAUGUUUUCAUGAUUUAUCCUACUCAUUGGAGCACAUAAGAUUUUUAUGCGCAUUUUUAGAAUCUAUGUGCAUCUUGGCAUUUCCAUCCAGCGUUUUUUUAUGCAAUAUCCUAAAAUGCCCAUAAAAAUAGGUGGAUGGAAACAUAGCUAAUUAUAAAAAUCCACCCACUCCUUUUUUUAAAUCCCCAUUAAACCAAAGCAGUCUCAUUAGACAAGCCGUUUUAAUUCUCUGAGCAAUGUGACGUUACAUUACUGAUGCCCCGCCCACGACCACUGACUGACAGUCCUGCAUUACCAUAGUUUCCGCCCUCAGCGAGCUGUACGCUGUCCGCCAUUUUCUCCGCGCUCGAGUAGCUGUAGCGAAAACGUCUGGUAAGUAACUGAGAUGUUUUGUUGUUGGAUGUGAACAUAACAGUCUUCAUUUACUGACAUCUGAGCCGCUGAACGCAGUGGAUUAGUUUUAUUUUUGAAGGGAAUGCACCACAGAUCUAAUAUACACAUACGAUUUCUGUAAUGUUACCUGCCAUUUACAUUCACAGACAUAACUGACUGUGUUUAUGUGAACUGUGUGUGUUUUCGACAACCUUGUGUGUAUUUGAGUUUAAACAAAACAAAAAAAUGUGAAAGAGAAGUUACUCACGAGACUUGACCUCUGACAGCCAGCUGUCUGUGUGUGUGUGCUUCAGUGCGCUCAGAAAACGAUAUAUUAGAAGUUUAAAAUGAUAUAGGUUUAAAACUUGUGGAAAUAAUAAACUUUAAUGAUUACAUUAAAACUAUGCUAUCCGUGAGAGUGAUCGUGAUAUAGAUGAUAAUCAAAACCAAGCAGAUGUCUUGUUAAUAUUUGGCAGAGAAUCCGAUUGAGGCAGAAACUGUGAUCGUAGAGAGGGGGCGGGGCACAGCAGCUUAUUUGCAUUUAAAGGCACAUGCACGAAACCAGCCUGUUCUUGACUGUAGUCAGAAAUAGGUAUUUACAACAUGGAUUUAAAAAUUAUCUGUGAGGUAUUUUAAGCUGAAACUUUACAGACACAUUCCUGGGAACAACUGAGACUUAAAUUACAUCUUGUAAAAAUGGGCAUAAUAGGUGCCCUUUAAGUGGUGAUAUUUUUUUUUUUCACCAACACUGUAAGACAUUCCAGCACCAGAGAAAAAAAUCCACGGUAAAAUAAAGUAAUAAGCCCCAAGAAGCCAUGGUUUACAGUUAAUUUAUAACAGCUAAGGGGCGUUGUUAGGCACGAUGCGGAGCGGUUAGGCAUGACAGGGCUUUUUGCUUUUAUAUAACGGUUACCAUACAAUACAAAUAUUAAAGACAAAAAAAUAUGUACAGUAUCAAUGAAGUAAAAUCACUAAAAGACUUCCUUCCGCUGGAAAAAUAGUCCCUGACCGUGAACAGCAACAGAAGUUACAUUUAUUACGCCUCUAGAUGCCGGCAAAGAUUGUCUCUAUGAGCGAGUCACUCAGUCGCAAAGACUUUUAUAUUGAAACUUGUUGUGAACACGGAACAAGACGCAAAUGACAAAUGCUUUGACUAGCACUGUCAGUGUCAGCAGGGCACAGGGGAAACCCAUUAAAUGUCAAAAGGACAAGAUCGCAGCAGACAUCAAGACAGAUUUUUUAUUAUAAACAUAGGACUGACCUGAAGGAAAAUGCUAAAUCUGAAUGCAGGUAAUACACUCGGUCACUCGAUAUCUCUCUCACAAUACUCUUCUACAUACAGUAGUAAGCUUCAGCGAACAAUAUCACUUUUUACGUUUCUAAGAGUGGUUGCUAAGGGUGUUGUGCAGUACUACACAGAACCGGGUGAAGCGGUCAUAGCCGUGUUUUAUCGUGAAUAAAACACAGCUAUUGACCAAUCUGGAACUAAUGGUAACACUUUAUUUUAGGGUCUUUUAACUAGUUGCUUAUUAGCAUGCAUAUUACUAGAAUAUUGGCUGUUUAUUGGUAAUUAUUAAGCACAUAUUAAUGCCUUAUUCUACAUGACCUUAUUCUACAUUCUUAAUCCUACCCAAUACCUAAAGUUAACAACUAACUUACUAACUAUUGACAAAGACUAUAGAAUAUUAAGACGUGUCACUUGUGUUGUUUUGAAUGGGAGAAAGUGCAACGCGCAAUAUGGCGGAAUUAGUCCCGCCUUCUAAAUAAGAGCCAAUCGUGAUUGGUAAUGUCAUUGCGUCACUGCAACGGCCGUUAGAAGCUCUGGUUCCUAUAGAAACAGUCAGAUGCGAAACAAGAGACGCGCAUUUAGGACUGCGCAUGCGCAUUAGCUUGAUCCAGCCUGAAAAAUACCUGUUUGUCAUGAUUUGAGCGAAUAGAAACAAAAUUUAUGAGACAGUUGUCAGAUUUCAUUGGUGAUUUCAAAUAUGAAAUUUAAUCGAAAGCUUGGCAAACAGCUUUGGAGAAUUUGAUGUUUCCCCAUUCAAAGAGGUAGGAGCUGCACUUGAAUGCCUGAGAGGCGUUUCAAAGAUGGCCGCCGAGUGAAAUGACUUAAAGGGACUUUGCUAUUAAUAAGCAGUAAAUUAGGAGUUUAUUGAGGGAAAAGUCAUAGUUAAUAGUGAAUACAUGUUCCCUAUACUAAAGUGUUACCGAACUAACCGUUUUAUAAAUAAUAAACAACAGUUACUUUUCAUUAAAUACACAAUACAUGGAAUUGCAGCAACACAGAGACACAGUGGUGCAGUAAUACUGAUGUAAUGAGGUCACAGGUGUAUGUUUGUAGAGUAAUUUACAACGGCUUCGAACGCAGCUCAACCAAUCAGAAUCAAGGGCCGGUGUCCUGACAUUUCAUCCUACCUGUCAGAUUGUCCUACCGGGGCUUACUGCGCAUGCGCACAUCAAUAUCGUUGACCACCAUGCCCAUAAUUUCGUGCUGCUGGCGUGUGGACUUCUUCCUGUAAGACAGACCACAGUAAUGAGGAUGCACGAACUUCUUCACGUAGGCUAUGGAAGAUAAAAUGUGGCAUGCAUCACUGAGCUAUGAAAGAUGAGUGGAAUACACUUUAUAAUUUCCUUUCGGUGGGGAUCAUACCCAUCAGGGUAUGAUAAGUCCAAAAAGCAGAAUCUUCGGAGAUAUGCACUCAAAUUCACUCUAAAAGGCAAAGUGUUAUAUUAAAUUUAAAUUUCAAUCAUGUUUAUUUUAUUAUUCAUCUGUUGCCAUCUUAAUGUAAAUUUGUCAUUUAUGACUAUAUGUUCACUUUAAUCUAGAUGGAGACCUUUUUUAUGAAAGCAGAAGAGUCAUCAGAACCAAAGAGGAAGCCAGAACUUCAUUCCUCUCCGAUUGGUGGGCACACAGGAAUUGGCAAAACACAUGCUGCCAUCUUUUUAUGAUAGUAUUUCUAUUUCCUGCUGCUGGAAUUCGAUGGUUGAGAUGACUGCAGAGACGGAUUCUACAUUUGUGAGAUGGACAUAGCUACUCCCAUUAUUUUCAGAGAAAAGGACAAGAGCGUAAUAGUCAAGUGCAAUAUUGCAAUCUAUGUGCGGGACUGAGGGAACUUUCUAGAAGAUAGCACUUGAAAAACACCUGGACCGGUGACACGCAAACACUAUCCGAGAGAGCUUCAGGAUUGGAGAAGAGAAAGAAUGUGCCAGACGAGAGCACGGGCAAGACAAAGCAACAGAUGCAGAAAUAUGAGUGAGCCGUGAACACACGUACACCGUUUGUUUGCAGAUUAAUAAUAACGGACUUGCGCAUGCCUAAUGUAUGACACCUGUAUGUCACUGAAAUCAUCUUUACCUUCAUUACAACGUCAUCCAUCAACUUUAUUGGUGACACUGGUUUUGUUUAUCCAGUCGCCGUUCAGUGUGUAUUUCACACAAAAACGGUGUGGGCUGCUCCGAAACAAUCGCAGAAAAUGCAGAGAGGUAGUGUUUAUUAAUAUUUCAUUUAACGUAUUAAUAAUACAAUUAAUGAAUUAUAUAUAUAUAUAUAUAUAUAUAUAUAUAUAUAUAUAUAUAUAUAUAUAUAUAUAUAGUAUAUUAUAGAGCCUCGCAGCAGCAUUUUGUACCAAUUGUAAACGGUUUAGUAAUGAUUUGUUAAUACCCACGUAUAGUGAGUUACAGUAGUCUAACUUUUUCGAAAUUGUGUGGUUUUUAAUGGUUUUACCUUUGCCAUUAUUCCAAAUAAUAAAAACAUGAUUUAACCACAAAAUAAAUAAAAUUUAAGAUCACUGUCAAAGGACACCCUCAGAUUCCGCUGCUCCUGGUGCUUCAAACCAUACAGCUUCAGUUUUAUCUUCAUUUAAGUUAAAAAAAAAAAAAAAAUUAACAACCUUCAUAGUUUGAGUUCAUGUCAGACCAACUCAAAACAACCUCCUUUUGCCAAGAUAACAGCUCUGAGUCUUCUUCUAUAAUGAGAUCAUUCCUCCAUACAGAAUCUCUCCAGAUCCUAAAGAGUCCCAGAUCCAUGUCAGUGCUUCUUGUCUUCAGUUCACCCCACUCAUUUUAUAGGGUUCAGGUCUGGGGACUGGGAUGGCCAUUGCAGAAGCUUGGUUUUGUGCUCAGUGACACAUUUUUGUGUUGGUUUUGAUGUUUGUUUUUGGAUCACUGCCCUGUUGGAAGAUCCAAACAUGGCCCAUUAUGUGAUUUAUAGCAGAGGCUGUCAGGUUUUGAUUUUUUAUCUGUUGGUAUUUUAUAGAAUCCAUGAUGCCAUAUAUCUGAAGAUGUACAGGACCUCCAGAAAAACAAUAGGCCCACAACAUUAAAGAUACAGCAGUGUAUUUCAUUUUAUACAUGGAGUACUUUUUAUCCCUGUGUGCACCAAACCCAUCUUAAGUGUUUGCUGCCAAAGAGCUUUUUUUUUUUUUUUUUUUUUCAUCUGACCAUAGAACCUGUCCCAUUUUAAGUUCCAGUAGAGUCAAGAAGCACCAACAUGGAGCUGGGAAUCUGAAGGAUCUGGAGAGAUUCUGUGUGGAGGAAUGGUCUCUGAUCUCUUGUCAGGUGUUCUCCAAACUCAUCAGGCAUUAUAGGAGAAGACUCACGCUUGUUUCACACCGCAAACGUCAGCGGUGCGUGAGCGUCGCGUUAGCAGGGAUAAGCUUUGUGUUUUACAUCAUCUGCCGCGUGCAUAAGCUUACAAGCCAGCAAACUCGGGUUUGAUUUGUGUAUGCUAGAGCCUAUAGCUGUCUGUGUAAUAACUAAAAUAAUGGUUAUAUAUCAUAUUUUCUGGCUAGUUUACUUUAUUUUUUUUUUUAUAAUACACCAUACUUUAACCCAAACUGAAUAGUUAAAAACAAGUUUAAAUGAGUAAAUCUUUUAUAAAUAUUUUUUUUAAUUUCUUUCCUGACAUACUCCAAUUCUGGUUAAAACACACUAGAUAAGCUUAUUCUGUGCAUUUUGAGCACUUUUUGUAUGAAAUCAUAUUUAUUUUGUUCAUCAAAGGUGUACUUUCACUUUAAUUGAGCGUUAGCAGCGCAGCAAAAAUAGACCCAGCGCCGAAACGAGCCUCUGCAUGCGGUGUGAAUGCUCUCAUCUGUUAACAUGGGCGCCGAAAAAAAUACACGCUGCUUACGCUUUGCUGAUGCAUGCGGUGUGAAACCGGCCUCAGAGCUGUUAUCUUGGGAAAAGGAGGUUGCAAGAAGUAUUUAAUAAAAGGGGGCAAAUAAUUGUUCCCAACAUGUUUUAGAGAAAAAUUAGAUUUUUCAAAUUUUUUGAAUAAAAUAUCUAAAGGAUAAACAAUGCAGAUUUAUUUUUUUUACAGCCAUCUUUGAUCAUAUUUAACCAGGGGGCAAAUAAUAUCUGACCAGCACUGUAGAUAGGUAGAUAGAUAGGCCUAUUCGUAACUAUAUUUAUACUGAAGAUUUUAUAACAUGCCUCUCCAUGAUAUGGGAGUUUUUAUCUUACACUUCAAAUAAAAUGCUACCAUUUUCACUACUGUCCAGUGACAAUUUGGAAAGUAAAUGCGACGGAAGCCUACUAUUUUAGUAAUGAACACAACUUUAAUUAUUCAGGAUGGGGCCGUUCACACAGAACACGUUUUGCCAUUCCAUUGCGCUACUUUUACAUUGUUUUUCAAUGUAAACGCGCUAGACAGACUUUGACCGUUGCACUCGUGUCUCGCAUCCAUAAUUUUGCAACGUCUCUUGCAUUACGCAGUCUUCUAAAAAUGCGGCGCUUAAGUUAAAAUAAGUUCAACUUUUUAAAAAAGGCAUCUCUAGACCUUGCUAUUUUAACCGCAAAAACGCAUUCUGUGUGACUGGUCCAAAGAUAAACAGUGCAUUCUUACUUCAGUGUUGCCUCGUACAUUCAGUUUAACAGCAUUAACAGCAAGCCAAAGAGGGCAAGGUUUCAAAUGAACAAUGCAUUGUCGUGGCAGAUUCGAUGUCUCUUUGUCCCUUCAGUUCUGGUCUCGAAGAAAAACUCACAGAGUCGAAGUUCCAGGUCUCAGAAGUAUUUCACUUUAUUGUCAAGCAACAAAGUGAGAUGCCAGCUCCACAUCUGAAUCUCUCUUAGCUGGGGCACAGUUUUUAUACAUUUUUCUUAUCUCUUAAAACACACCAAAGUAGUAUCAUUGGAUGGUAAUAUCCACCCUUACAUUUUCACAUAUUCUCACUUAAAGGUGCUCUUCCCCACACAUCUUUCCCAUGUACUCGCCGACCUUUCUACCAUAAUUAUCACAAAUAUGAUUGCAGGUGUUGUUUAUGUAAGAGACAAUUUUCUUAGUAAGGGUGACCAACUUCUAGCUACUGUACAUCUUUUGACUUAAUUUCUCAUGGGCCUUCUGCCAAUUUGAUGGUCAACCCUUUUCCCAUGGGCCAAAUGAAACAUUGUAUCAAACCAGUCAAUACACCCCAGAGGCAAGAAGCCUUCAUAUGACGCACUUAACAAUGGUCUUAUUCAUUUCACAGCCACCUGUUUGGUGGAAAAUUACCAACAAAAUAUGCUCAGUGGCCAAGUAAACUUGUCUGACCCUUACAGUUACAUAGGCCAAGAGGCCUCAAAACACUUCUAGCUUUUAUAGUAAGCAAACCAAUUUCUACAACAGUUUUUUUAUAGGAUGGAUAAAAUACUCCCAUGCAUUAUAUUCUUGCUCCGUCCAUGCAAUAAAUGCACAUUCUUGAAUAAAUUUUAACUGCUCAUCAUAUGACCCAUUUUAGUAUGCGCCGGCGG